CUAAAAUAUACAUGAAGCAUAUCUCGAUUUAGUACAAUUAUAAUAUAAAAAAGCUUCAGGAAAUGUACAACGCUUAUCAUAAAAAUGCAUUAUAAUUUUGUGACGUUCCUUAAACAACGCGUCCCCUUAAUUUGUCUACUAAUGAAGCGAAUACACUGCACGUAAAUGAUUUUCCUAUUUUAUCACACGCUGCGUCAUCCGUGUUUUUGCAUCCCUAACACGUUCCUCUCUCCCUUUACCUUUAGAUGUCUAGUUUCGCGGUCGUAGCUGGAGCGCCUUGUAUUGAUCGAGCUACCUAAGUCCUAACUUGUUCAGCCACUCCACCACAUCAACGAUUUUUUUGACAUUCGCAUAAUCCGGAGCCAACCGGAGUCAUGGAAACGACAUCCUCAUUGACUAAGAUUCCCCUUAACAUGUCUUCCUCUUCCAUAUAGUCGUAUGAAGACGUAAAAUCAUGACUGACGCUCCCAAUUCCAGCGAUUUUAGUUAUACCUGAUUAAAACUAGGUUGCUAAAUUUUUAUAUCAAUGUUGAAUAUCCUAUUGGUAACAGGAAUAAAGUUGUGAGGUAAGCUGUGAUUGAGAGGAUAGAACAACUGAAACUGACGUGCAGGAGCAAUCAUCAAUCUCAAAAGUGAUUGCGUUCUUUCUUUAUGAGUUUCAUGAUAACAUCAGUGACAAUCGAUGCUGUACGUCGUUUAGCAUGUUAAUGGCUCGCGACAUGGACACUCUGUUUAAAGCUGCUAUUAUAUUAGGGCCAGCAGUGGAUGUUAAACCGUCGCGUGUGCUUUCUGGUACACAGUGGUAUGGAUCGAUCGAUAGACGUUCGGCGACGCGUCAGGCCGAACCCGACACGGUACGGCGCAACGAGGAAAUUUCCAUUGAAAACUGAAGCUUUGACACAUACUGUUCAAUAAAGGUGUGCGUAUCCACGUGCGGGUGAGAAUCACAAAAGUCGAUAACCGAAAGUGACUCAUGGCUGUUCAAUCUUUUUUCAUCAGUGAAUGUGCAAUUUAACGUCAAAACCUCGCCAAGUUCACCUCGCAGCCAUGAUAUAAAACUCAAGAUAUUUCAUCACACUUGGAGUAAAAUAUUUUUAUCCGAACGUUUAUUUCUCUAAAUCAUUUCAAAAAAUUCAUAUUUCUGAAAACGGUAUUUUUAAAUCCGGAUCUCGCACAAGUGGAAGAGGGAUCCUGACGCUUUCAGGCGAAAGUAUUACCUACGAUGACGAAGGUAUUAGGUAUUAGAAACGAUGUCCGAGAAAACAGAAUCUGCGCAGUUGUGCUGGAUUGGUAACCGAUAUGAUCCCGACACGUAUAAACUCUGACGUCGCAAUCACGCGAGAGCCAAUCGUGCAUUUCUCGUGACCUACCUCCGCGAAAAUAGACGUAUGUUAAGCAGCUAUUUAUGCAGUUGCUAAGAAAAAGUUCAUUUUCCGAAAUUGGCAGGUGCCUAAAACGAUUCGAGGCACGAGAUCAAGUCUCGCGCGAUAGCGGAUGUUCUCCAUUCGGGAAAUUCACAAAAUCAUAAAAUCUGUCAGAUUGCGAUGUAUGAGUGCGUGUUGUGUACUCAUAUUUUAUGCAACGCCAAACAAAAUGUCACGCGUUACUGAUGCGUACAUCUUUAGCAUUUGCGGUUGGUCGACCUUUUACGUCAGGUUGAAUUAAAUCAAGUGUAACCUUGAACUAACUUUAUCUUGAUGAAUAACAGAUGCUCCAUAUUGAUUUUUUACUAUUUUAUUUCAUCCAUUGCAAUGCUGUACUGAAUGGACCUGCUUAUUUAACUUAUAUGAAUGCAAAUAGUGAAGCCAUAUAGUUUUGAUAGAAUAUCCGUAAAGUUAUAUGGAAAGCUGAAAAAAUGUCAAAUCCGGAUCCCUAACAUGGAUAAUUUUCAGAAUAUUAUCUUGCAUCUUGCAUCAACAUGAUCAUAAAUGUAUCAAUCUCACAAGGAGGAAUUUAUUAGUCUUAUAUAUAGCAAGAAAGAGUCUAUAAUUUAUAGCCAGGUAUAUAUACUUCCAGGUAUACACCCAGUACUUUUCCAUACAAAAAAUAGUCUCGUUAUUAGCACGUCAUUUUUAUUAAAAAUAUAAAAUAACGAAAAUUAAAUAAAAGCAAAUAAUGAUUUUUCGGAUUACACAGAUUUCCGUUCUAUAAAACUAAAGAUUGGAUUAAACAAUAUAAAAUUAUCAAAUACCAGAAUUUUUUGAUAUAAAUUUAUUACAUUUUAAUGGAACUAGACCAGACAAACGCAAACGAAAUUCUACAGUUAAUGAAAAUUAAACAAACUAUGCAAAAUCAAAAUGUUCAUCGCAUAAGUUGAAUAAAUCGCCAAGCAUGGUUAGCAUUAUAUUAUAAGAAUAUGUUUUGCUGCAAUUAAAGUAAAUAAAAAAAGAUUGGUAUAAUUAUAUAUUCCAAGAGAAAAUAACGAAAUGUGACAACCGUAGUAAUGCAAUCAAGACUGGAUAGCGUAAUUUUCACAUUACGAAAAUCGCAAUUGCGUGGCUGUUAAAUGUAUUAAUUGUCGAAAAUAGCCGAUACGUGUCUUUAAGGACGUGAAUGCGCGGAAUAUUUCGUCGCAGUUAUAUUUAACGCCGGCGUGGGACUGUGAAUACCUGAAAAUAGUCGUUGACUAGUAUAGUUAGCCAUGUGCUGCUAUACCAGCUCCACUGCCCUCGUAUCGAGCAACCUUGUCCCUGCUCUUCUUUACAUCCGACAUCAUAGAGGCUAACACUGACCAUUAGUUGACAAAAGUUACCUUCAGUAUUGCAAUUUUACGAUGAAUUUUUGCGAUAAUCAGUUUAUAUAAUAUGUUGACACGCAUCAUAGUUUAUCACUCGUUGAGCAACUCGAAAUUUAUAUCAAAUAUACGUCAAUAUAUAAAAAUUCAACGUUACAAAAAGUGAACUUUUGUUUUCGCAAUUUCGAAAUUCACAAUUUCAUAAAGUGAUUUUAAUAAAUUUUUAAAAAUU